GUUACACUUUUUUUCCUACAGCAUUUCAAAGAAACGAGUUGUACGCGUUCUACGACAGAAGUUGAGUGUAUCGUGAAAAAAAGUGUAAACACUAGAAAAACAAAGAAACAAGAAAGUGUAACACUUUUACACUUUUCUUACACUUUUCAAGAACUAGUGUUACACUUAAAACAAAGGAACAGACCUAUUAUAAACAUACAAAUGUAAUAAAAAUUAUUGUUCGCGAAUAUUCAAUUUGGAAUGCGAUUUUGUUAAUAAAAAAAAUACUUAUAACUUAUGCAAAACCCAAGAGAGGCAUUUAUAUUUAUUUCUUUUGCGUUCAUUUUCAAAUUCGCCGUGCAUAUAUUUUUGUGCAUGGCGCUUGAGAGGGCAUCACGUGACUAAAAACGACCAACCAACGACCUCGCUUCGGCCAUCUUGGCAUCUUCAUCUUGGCGACUGGCGACCUUGCCCGGCCUUGCCUUGCCGUGGAUUGUUUGCAUUAUUUGUGCUUUUUAAGAAUAUUUUUUUAAUUCGGAUACUUUUAUAAUAGCUUUAAUAGUAUUAUUAACAUAGUGCAUAAAAUGGUGUCCUGUUUUUAACGCAGUUGGAGUAGCAGAAACAAAUGUAGAUAAAAAAAUCUGCAGGAAUAACGUUUCAAUUAUGACAGAAGCUCAAAACAAAUGACUGUGAAUGAACAGCCCUAUUAAAAGCUUUCCAGAAGAUCCUGCGAAGAAGACAUGAAGUAUAGAUCAGAUUUGUUAAUAGAGGAGUAUGUUCAAAACACUUUUUAGAAAAAGAUAUUGACAGAACUUCACUUUCAUCUGUUCGUUUGAGAGACUGUGCUGUUCCAAUAGCUUAUGUCACACAGAAUCAGCUGAGAGAAGUGGUCUACAAAAAACCAGAAAGGAAACCGAAUAUGUGGCUACGAAAAGCAAAAGAAAGGUUUACAAAGCAAAUGUGACACAUUUUUUUAUAAUAUUUAGGAAUGUCAGCAAAUUACAUUAAAAAAUGUAUGUAAAGAUUUUUUGCAAUAAAAAUGUUUAUAUUUA